rnacentral:misc_RNA from 1 species
UUAAGUUCAGCGGGUAGUCCUACCUGAUUUGAGGCCAGAUCAUAAAAAGUCAAGUCCCAGAAGGGAACAAUGAGAUUAGAAAGCAGACGUUUGUCAAGAGUCUUGGCCACCCCAGAAGGGAUGUCCUCAGCGAAAUACUUAUUACGCCAAGUAGAACCAAGUCUCACGACAUGUCCAGCUAAUUCUUUUAAGGUGAGCAG